rnacentral:tRNA from 1 species
GGUAAAAUGGCUGAGAUAGUGAUAAAUUGUAAAUUUAUUAAGGAGAAAUAAAAUUUUCUUUUUUACCA